GAUGAACGCUGGCGGCGUGCCUAAUACAUGCAAGUCGAGCGAACGGACGAGAAGCUUGCUUUUCUGAUGUUAGCGGCGGACGGGUGAGUAACACGUGGAUAACCUACCUAUAAGACUGGGAUAACUUCGGGAAACCGGAGCUAAUACCGGAUAAUAUUUUGAACCGCAUGGUUCAAAAGUGAAAGACGGUCUUGCUGUCACUUAUAGAUGGAUCCGCGCUGCAUUAGCUAGUUGGUAAGGUAACGGCUUACCAAGGCUACGAUGCAUAGCCGACGUGAGAGGGUGAUCGGCCACAUGGGAACGGGAACAGGGUCCAUACUCCUACGAGAGGCAGCAGUAGGGAAUCUGCCGCAAUGGGCGAGAGCCUUACGGAGCAGCGCCGCGUGAGUGGUGAAAGUCUUCGGAGCGUAAAACUCUGUUAUGAGGGAAGAACAUAUGUGUAAGUAACUGUGCACAUCGUGACGGUACCUAAUCAGAAAGCAACGGCUAACUACGUG
rnacentral:rRNA from 1 species